rnacentral:lncRNA from 1 species
CCUUUUGGAAUGGGGGACAGCAGAGGGACCAAUGGAUAACAAAAGACCUGCUUUCCUGCAUCGGAUUCUCUGUGCCUAUGAAAUGAUGGGAAGGCACCAACAUAGCAGUGGUGAGCAGGAGCUGAAGACCCUUCCCAGGACUGGCUGACCACCAAAGAACACUGCCAACCCCUCUACUUAUCAGCCUACUUCUCCUUCCACUCACUCUGGGGGUGGUUAUUUUUGUAUCCAUGUCACCCCAACACCUGGCAGAGACAGUAGACGAUGGAAAAGAUCACCUUUGCCUCACCGCUUCAGACAUCUUAUCAUGGGACUCAUCAUGGCAGAGAAGCCGUGGUGAAGUUCCUGAUGACAAAAGCAUGUGGCAGAGGCUCCUGAACAUCACCUUGAACAAGGAAGCAGGAACAAUGAACAGAAAAUGGGGGCAUUGGGCCUUGUCCUCAGAAGACUUGCCUCUCAUAAUGACUUACCUCUUCUAGCCAGCCCUCAGCACCCAAAGGUUCCAAAGCCCUUCAAAAUAUCAUGACCAGCUUGAGAACAAACCUCAAAGCAUCAUGAUAUGGAGGGGAUUUCAGAUACAAACCCAAACACCCCAACCACACAGCUCUUCCCCACUGUAACCCCCUUGCUAAUUUC